rnacentral:rRNA from 1 species
CUGGGAGGACCAUCUCCUAAGGCUAAAUACUCUCUAGUGACCGAUAGUGAACCAGUACCGUGAGGGAAAGGUGAAAAGCACCCCGGAAGGGGAGUGAAAUAGAACCUGAAACCGUGUGCUUACAAGUAGUCAGAGCCCGUUAAUGGGUGAUGGCGUGCCUUUUGUAGAAUGAACCGGCGAGUUACGAUUUGAUGCAAGGUUAAGC